UACGGAGUUACAAAGGACGACAUUAGACGAAUCAUCUGGAAAGAUGAAUCAAAGAAGGUAAUAAUCCUGUAGUCGAAAAUGUUGUCUCUCUUGAGUGGAUCCUGAGUACGACGGAGCACGUGAAAUUCCGUCGGAAUCUGGGAGGACCAUCUCCUAAGGCUAAAUACUCUCUAGUGACCGAUAGUGAACCAGUACCGUGAGGGAAAGGUGAAAAGCACCCCGGAAGGGGAGUGAAAUAGAACCUGAAACCGUGUGCUUACAAGUAGUCAGAGCCCGUUAAUGGGUGAUGGCGUGCCUUUUGUAGAAUGAACCGGCGAGUUACGAUUUGAUGCAAGGUUAAGCAGUAAAUGUGGAGCCGUAGCGAAAGCGAGUCUGAAUAGGGCGUUUAGUAUUUGGUCGUAGACCCGAAACCAGGUGAUCUACCCUUGGUCAGGUUGAAGUUCAGGUAACACUGAAUGGAGGACCGAACCGACUUACGUUGAAAAGUGAGCGGAUGAACUGAGGGUAGCGGAGAAAUUCCAAUCGAACCUGGAGAUAGCUGGUUCUCUCCGAAAUAGCUUUAGGGCUAGCCUCAAGUGAUGAUUAUUGGAGGUAGAGCACUGUUUGGACGAGGGGCCCCUCUCGGGUUACCGAAUUCAGACAAACUCCGAAUGCCAAUUAAUUUAACUUGGGAGUCAGAACAUGGGUGAUAAGGUCCGUGUUCGAAAGGGAAACAGCCCAGACCACCAGCUAAGGUCCCAAAAUAUAUGUUAAGUGGAAAAGGAUGUGGCGUUGCCCAGACAACUAGGAUGUUGGCUUAGAAGCAGCCAUCAUUUAAAGAGUGCGUAAUAGCUCACUAGUCGAGUGACACUGCGCCGAAAAUGUACCGGGGCUAAACAUAUUACCGAAGCUGUGGAUUGUCCUUUGGACAAUGGUAGGAGAGCGUUCUAAGGGCGUUGAAGCAUGAUCGUAAGGACAUGUGGAGCGCUUAGAAGUGAGAAUGCCGGUGUGAGUAGCGAAAGACGGGUGAGAAUCCCGUCCACCGAUUGACUAAGGUUUCCAGAGGAAGGCUCGUCCGCUCUGGGUUAGUCGGGUCCUAAGCUGAGGCCGACAGGCGUAGGCGAUGGAUAACAGGUUGAUAUUCCUGUACCACCUAUAAUCGUUUUAAUCGAUGGGGGGACGCAGUAGGAUAGGCGAAGCGUGCGAUUGGAUUGCACGUCUAAGCAGUAAGGCUGAGUAUUAGGCAAAUCCGGUACUCGUUAAGGCUGAGCUGUGAUGGGGAGAAGACAUUGAGUCUUCGAGUCGUUGAUUUCACACUGCCGAGAAAAGCCUCUAGAUAGAAAAUAGGUGCCCGUACCGCAAACCGACACAGGUAGUCAAGAUGAGAAUUCUAAGGUGAGCGAGCGAACUCUCGUUAAGGAACUCGGCAAAAUGACCCCGUAACUUCGGGAGAAGGGGUGCUCUUUAGGGUUAACGCCCAGAAGAGCCGCAGUGAAUAGGCCCAAGCGACUGUUUAUCAAAAACACAGGUCUCUGCUAAACCGUAAGGUGAUGUAUAGGGGCUGACGCCUGCCCGGUGCUGGAAGGUUAAGAGGAGUGGUUAGCUUCUGCGAAGCUACGAAUCGAAGCCCCAGUAAACGGCGGCCGUAACUAUAACGGUCCUAAGGUAGCGAAAUUCCUUGUCGGGUAAGUUCCGACCCGCACGAAAGGCGUAACGAUUUGGGCACUGUCUCAACGAGAGACUCGGUGAAAUCAUAGUACCUGUGAAGAUGCAGGUUACCCGCGACAGGACGGAAAGACCCCGUGGAGCUUUACUGUAGCCUGAUAUUGAAAUUCGGCACAGCUUGUACAGGAUAGGUAGGAGCCUUUGAAACGUGAGCGCUAGCUUACGUGGAGGCGCUGGUGGGAUACUACCCUAGCUGUGUUGGCUUUCUAACCCGCACCACUUAUCGUGGUGGGAGACAGUGUCAAGCGGGCAGUUUGACUGGGGCGGUCGCCUCCUAAAAGGUAACGGAGGCGCUCAAAGGUUCCCUCAGAAUGGUUGGAAAUCAUUCAUAGAGUGUAAAGGCAUAAGGGAGCUUGACUGCGAGACCUACAAGUCGAGCAGGGUCGAAAGACGGACUUAGUGAUCCGGUGGUUCCGCAUGGAAGGGCCAUCGCUCAACGGAUAAAAGCUACCCCGGGGAUAACAGGCUUAUCUCCCCCAAGAGUUCACAUCGACGGGGAGGUUUGGCACCUCGAUGUCGGCUCAUCGCAUCCUGGGGCUGUAGUCGGUCCCAAGGGUUGGGCUGUUCGCCCAUUAAAGCGGUACGCGAGCUGGGUUCAGAACGUCGUGAGACAGUUCGGUCCCUAUCCGUCGUGGGCGUAGGAAAUUUGAGAGGAGCUGUCCUUAGUACGAGAGGACCGGGAUGGACAUACCUCUGGUGUACCAGUUGUCGUGCCAACGGCAUAGCUGGGUAGCUAUGUGUGGACGGGAUAAGUGCUGAAAGCAUCUAAGCAUGAAGCCCCCCUCAAGAUGAGAUUUCCCAACUUCGGUUAUAAGAUCCCUCAAAGAUGAUGAGGUUAAUAGGUUCGAGGUGGAAGCAUGGUGACAUGUGGAGCUGACGAAUACUAAUCGAUCGAAGACUUAAUCAA
rnacentral:rRNA from 8 species